AGUCGAACGGCAGCACGGGUGCUUGCACCUGGUGGCGAGUGGCGAACGGGUGAGUAAUAUAUCGGAACGUAUCCAAUAAUGGGGGAUAACUAAUCGAAAGGUUGGCUAAUACCGCAUACGCCCUACGGGGGAAAGCAGGGGAUCUUCGGACCUUGCGUUAAUGGAGCGGCUGAUAUCUGAUUAGCUAGUAGGUGAGGUAAAGGCUCACCUAGGCGACGAUCAGUAGCUGGUCUGAGAGGACGACCAGCCACACUGGAACUGAGACACGGUCCAGACUCCUACGGGAGGCAGCAGUGGGGAAUUUUGGACAACGGGGGCAACCCUGAUCCAGCCAUUCCGCGUGAGUGAAGAAGGCCUUCGGGUUGUAAAGCUCUUUCGCAAGGGAAGAAACGAUACAGUCGAAUAAACUGUGUUAAUGACGGUACCUUGAUAAGAAGCACCGGCUAACUACGUGCCAGCAGCCGCGGUAAUACGUAGAGUGCGAGCGUUAAUCGGAAUUACUGGGCGUAAAGCGUGCGCAGGCGGUUUUGAAAGUCAGAUGUGAAAUCCCCGGGCUCAACCUGGGAACUGCGUUUGAAACUCCAAAGCUAGAGUAUAGGAGAGGGGGGUAGAAUUCCACGUGUAGCAGUGAAAUGCGUAGAGAUGUGGAGGAAUACCAAUGGCGAAGGCAGCCCCCUGGCUUAAUACUGACGCUCAUGCACGAAAAGCGUGGGGAGCAAACAGGAUUAGAUAC
rnacentral:rRNA from 1 species